GCAACUGUUGAAAUACUGUAGCUCUUAACAUAUCUGACUUUUUGCUUCUGCUCUAUGAUGAGGUGAUAGACACUGCAAAGUUCUUAAUUAUUGUUUUGUGCCAGGACUUACUUUGUACAAAGUAAUUGAAUGAUGACAUAAACCAGUGCACCUAAAGUUUUAAGAAAUUUAUUGAUGCUCACAGUUCCUCUUGAAGCAAGAGAACAGCAUGCUACAUAGGGAUAUGCAAGGAAACCAUGAAGCUGAUCAGGAGAAAGCAGCAAAGGUGUCUAGGAUACCUCUGAAUAACAACUUGAGAGGAGGUAUCUCUUACCAGAAACUGGGCUUUUUAUUUGGCAACUUCUGACUUCUGAGGUUGACAACAAUUUUCAAGACACCAGCAAAUGCGCAUUCAGUAAGUACUGAGACACUUGCCCACAGGGAGUGGGUGCCUUUAGGCAAUUAGCUGUGACUCACUUCCAAACCAGGUUAGAAACAUCAAAGGACUGUUCCACUCUGUCCAGGAAAUGCAGAGAGAAAAGCCCAGGGUAACAUCACACUAAAGCAGUUAAAUUAGACCUCAAGGUUAAGAGACUGAUGAGUGACUACAAUGAGAGCUCUGUGAUACACAGAGGUCAUUCUUAAUUGGGGUCUGUGA